GACAGAGGGUGCAAACGUUGUUCGGAAUUACUGGGCGUAAAGCGCGUGUAGGCGGUCAUGCAAGUCGGGCGUGAAAUCCCUGGGCUCAACCGAGGAAGUGCGCCCGAAACUGCGCGACUUGAGUUCCGGAGAGGAUGGUGGAAUUCUCGGUGUAGAGGUGAAAUUCGUAGAUAUCGAGAGGAACACCGGUGGCGAAGGCGGCCAUCUGGACGGAAACUGACGCUGAGACGCGAAAGCGUGGGUAGCAAACAGG
rnacentral:rRNA from 1 species